rnacentral:lncRNA from 1 species
AAUCAGGGAAAUUAAUCAGUGCUUCAUCUUCUCAGAAUUCUCGAGAGAGAAGCUAGAGAGAAGUUUGGAUGAACAGUGGAGCACCAAAUUGCUAAACUGAAAAUUAGAAGUGCCACCCGAUCACCAAUUUCAGGCCUUAUUGAAAAUGCAGUUGUGGAGGAUUUCCUGGUGGAGUUGAUAGUUCGAGAAAGAGAGAAAGCUCAAGAACUCUACUCCGCCACAGACAGAUCUGAGCAAAACAAACAUCUAACCAAGGAAUUACUGGCAAGCCCAGUAUUUUCCUCAGAAAGUGGAUGGGUGAAGGUUUUGUGAGUAUACUGGAUUUUCCUGCAGUGUUCUUGAUUUGGGAUCAAUUGUACAUGCCAGAUUGGAAUCAAAAGGUGAUGGAGAAUUUCUGUCUCUCAAUCUUUAUGCUAUUAAAGGAUUCACUAAUGGCUGCCAAUGAUUAUCCAGCUAUAAGAGAGGUGUUUUUGUUCUAUGGUUGUCAUCUUCUUACAGCUGAUAUUCAAAGGGCCUGGAUUCAUCUUCAGCAAGGUGGUUUACCAUCUGACAUCCCUGGGCUUAGCAGACAAAAUCAAAGGCCGCUUGCUGAUCUGUCUCCAAGGCUCAGUUCAAUGGAAGCUGGAAAGGUUUCGCUUGGCUUCCAGGACCUCUUGCAAGUUGAAGUGAAGGAUGUUUUACUGAAGCUAGUUUUACCAGUACCACAGGUUGAGAUAUCACACAUUGAAACUUGGUUGAAAGAAUUUGACCCUCUUGCUGUGGAGUUAACAGUUUCAGUAUUUUAUGGCCUUGAAAAACUGUGUUCCAAGACUAGCUCUUUUAAACUCUCUCUUCUACAGAAAACCAAAGGAAAAACAGCAAAAAAAAGUGAAACCACUGAAUUUAUUGUUCGGUUCAAUGAAACAUUUGCCUUUGAUUGUCUGGAUCCAUCUGAGUUUAUAAAUAUGGCAGAAGCUAAACCCUAUAUUGUAUUAAAAGUAGUUUAG